CACGACGUUGUAAAACGACGUUAUGCAUGAACGUAAUGCUCACAACUUCCCUCUAGACCUAGCUGCUGUUGAAGCUCCAUCCCUAAAUGGAUAAGACUUAGGCUUAGUGUAUAAGAGUUGUUGAAGGAGCAAUACCAACCCUCUUGAUAAAACAAGAAAAGUGGUAUUGCUCCUUCAUAUCAUAGAGUUUAUAGUUUAGUAAUGUUUUAUUCACAUAAGAUUUUUGCCAUUUUUUUUUAUGUUUAUGAGGGUAAGAAAAAGUUAAAAACUAAAACUAAAGUAAAUAAUGAUAAAUGUUAAAAAAUCUAUUCAUAUUCCGUUUUUUAAAGGGAGUGGGGGCGGAUGUAGCCAAGUGGAUUAAGGCAGUGGAUUGUGAAUCCACCAUGCGCGCCUGUGUGAAAUUGUUAUCAACCAGCAUUACGUUCAUGCAUAACGUCGUUUUACAACGUCGUGAAAAAAA
rnacentral:misc_RNA from 1 species